rnacentral:rRNA from 1 species
UAAAGAAACUGUACUACCUCAGGCUAUGAUCUCGUCAGCUCUCAUAAGCUAAACAGGGACAGGCUUGACCAGUACUUCAAGAGAAACCUCCGAGGAAACCAUAGCUGCUCCAGGAA